rnacentral:lncRNA from 1 species
GGCCCGUGAAACCGUCCAACUUUGAAGUCUUGAACACCAACCAGUGCUUGACGCUCUUGCUUUGGCCAAGGAAACUCUACAUUGCAUCAGCUGCUCUUAUAGUGCAAUUCUGCGAGAGAUUGCCGUCCGAAGCAGGGAGUUUCAGGAUGUUAUUUUCAUGCAUGAAGGGAGGGCUUCUAAUGGUGAUUGCAUAGCUUAGUGAAGAGUGUUUUGUCUUUAACACAUGGUAGCUUCCUCUGAUUGUCUAGGCCUUGGAAUGAUACUUCUGUACCCUUGAUUAUUAAUCAAUAAAGCCAUGAGUUCGUUAAAAAAAAAACACUAGUGCUUGACUCCUCUCAAAAAAAAAAACAGGUGAAAAACGGUGAGUCGAAUAUGUUCAUUGCCUCCCGCGUUCUCAACAUUAGUUUUUCUCAGGUCCAACCAUCUAAGGAGUAUUAUUUUAGUUUGAAGUUG